rnacentral:rRNA from 1 species
AUUGAACGCUGGCGGCAGGCUUAACACAUGCAAGUCGAGCGGGGUGAUGGUGCUUGCACUAUCACUUAGCGGCGGACGGGUGAGUAAUGCUUAGGAAUCUGCCUAUUAGUGGGGGACAACAUCUCGAAAGGGAUGCUAAUACCGCAUACGUCCUACGGGAGAAAGCAGGGGAUCACUUGUGACCUUGCGCUAAUAGAUGAGCCUAAGUCGGAUUAGCUAUUUGGUGGGGUAAAGGCCUACCAAGGCGACGAUCCGUAGCGGGUCUGAGAGGAUGAUCCGCCACACUGGGACUGAGACACGGCCCAGACUCCUACGGGAGGCAGCAGUGGGGAAUAUUGGACAAUGGGGGGAACCCUGAUCCAGCCAUGCCGCGUGUGUGAAGAAGGCCUUAUGGUUGUAAAGCACUUUAAGCGAGGAGGAGGCUCUUUUGGUUAAUACCCAAGAUGAGUGGACGUUACUCGCAGAAUAAGCACCGGCUAACUCUGUGCCAGCCGCCGCAGUAA